UAGGGAAUCUUCCACAAUGGACGAAAGUCUGAUGGAGCAACGCCGCGUGAGGGAUGAAGGCUUUCGGAUCGUAAAACUCUGUUGUAAGGGAAGAACAAGUACGAGCGGUACCGCUAGUACCUUGACGGUCCAUUGAGGUACAGCCACGGCUAACUACGUGCCAGCAGCCGCGGUAGUACGUAGGUGGCAAGCGUAGUCCGGAAUUAUUUGGCGUAUAGCGCGGCCCGGCGGACUUUUAAGUCUGAUGUG
rnacentral:rRNA from 1 species